rnacentral:rRNA from 1 species
GAUGAACGCUAGCGGCAGGCUUAACACAUGCAAGUCGAGGGGUAGAGGUUGCUUGCAACCUUGAGACCGGCGCACGGGUGCGUAACGCGUAUGCAACCUACCUUUUACAGAGGGAUAGCCCAGAGAAAUUUGGAUUAAUACCUCAUAGUAUAUAACCUUCGCAUGUUGGUUAUAUUAAAGUUCCAACGGUAAAAGAUGGGCAUGCGUCCUAUUAGCUAGAUGGUAAGGUAACGGCUUACCAUGGCAACGAUAGGUAGGGGUCCUGAGAGGGAGAUCCCCCACACUGGUACUGAGACACGGGCCAGACCCCUACGGGAGGCAGCAGUGAGGAAUAUUGGACAAUGGGCGCAAGCCUGAUCCAGCCAUGCCGCGUGCAGGAAGAAGCAUCUAUGGUGUGUAAACUGCUUUUGUACAGGAAGAAACUCCCCGACGUGUCGGGGCUUGACGGUACUGUAAGAAUAAGGAUCGGCUAACUCCGUGCCAGCCGCCGCCGUAA